GAAAGCAAGGAUGCAUUUAGCAAUGGACGAAGAAUGGUCAGCAUCUUUGUGUCAAGAAAAAGAGGGUACAUAUUCAUCCAAACAGACAAGCCGAUUUAUAACCCAGGGGAAAAAGUCAGAUAUAGAAUCUUCACUCUAAACAACGUCAUGCUCCCCAUGAAAGAUACAAUCCAUGUUAAAAUAACCAACAGCAAAGGCUUGAUUGUUUACAAUCAUAUGAUGGGUUCGCAAGAAAUCCUGGAGAAAAGCAUCACUAUUCCAGACAUGGAGGUG